rnacentral:rRNA from 1 species
AUUGAACGCUGGCGGCAGGCUUAACACAUGCAAGUCGAACGGUAACAUAAAGGAGCUUGCUUCUUUGAUGACGAGUGGCGGACGGGUGAGUAAUGCUUGGGAAUCUAGCUUAUGGAGGGGGAUAACUACGGGAAACUGUAGCUAACACCGCGUAGAAUCGGGAGAUGAAAGUGUGGGACCUUCGGGCCACAUGCCAUAGGAUGAGCCCAAGUGGGAUUAGGUAGUUGGUGAGGUAAAGGCUCACCAAGCCGACGAUCUCUAGCUGGUCUGAGAGGAUGACCAGCCACACUGGAACUGAGACACGGCCCAGACUCCUACGGGAGGCAGCAGUGGGGAAUAUUGCGCAAAGGGGGCAACCCUGACGCAGCCAUGCCGCGUGAAUGAAGAAGGCCUUCGGGUUGUAAAGUUCUUUCGGUAGCGAGGAAGGCAUUUAGUUUAAUAGGCUGGGUGAUUGACGUUAACUACAGAAGAAGCACCGGCUAACUCCGUG